rnacentral:pre_miRNA from 1 species
AAAAAGUUAAACCCUGGGUUUACGUGUCCAACUUUGACUGUCCGUCUUAUAUGAAUUUUUUUUAUAAUUCGUAUUUUUAUUGGUAUUAGAUGAUAAAACAUGAUUAAUACUUUAUGCGUGACUUGUUUUUUUAAUUUUUNUAUUUUUAUUGGUAUUAGAUGAUAAAACAUGAUUAAUACUUUAUGCGUGACUUGUUUUUUUAAUUUUUUUCAUAAUUUUUUUAAAUAAGACGGACGGUCAAAUAUUAGGCACGGAAACCAGGGUUUGUCUUUUU